AGCCAGACUCCUACGGGAGGCAGCAGUGGGGAAUAUUGCACAAUGGGGGAAACCCUGAUGCAGCGACGCCGCGUGAGUGAAGAAGUAAUUCGUUAUGUAAAGCUCUCUCAGCAGGGAAGAAAAUGACGGUACCUGAGUAAGAAGCCCCGGCUAACUACGUGCCAGCAGCCGCGGUAAUACGUAGGGGGCAAGCGUUAUCCGGAUUUACUGGGUGUAAAGGGAGCGUAGACGGCGAUGCAAGUCUGAAGUGAAAGGCGGGGGCCCAACCCCCGGACUGCUUUGGAAACUGUAUGGCUGGAGUGCAGGAGAGGUAAGUGGAAUUCCUAGUGUAGCGGUGAAAUGCGUAGAUAUUAGGAGGAACACCAGUGGCGAAGGCGGCCUGCUGGACGACAACUGACGGUGAGGCGCGAAAGCGUGGGGAGCAAACAGGAUUAGAUACCCGCGUA
rnacentral:rRNA from 1 species